GACAUCCCGAUGCUAUUUCUAGAGAUAGAAAGUUACUUCGGUACAUCGGUGACAGGUGGUGCAUGGUUGUCGUCAGCUCGUGUCGUGAGAUGUUGGGUUAAGUCCCGCAACGAGCGCAACCCCUAUUGUUAGUUGCCAUCAUUCAGUUGGGCACUCUAGCGAGACUGCCGGUAAUAAACCGGAGGAAGUGGGGAUGACGUCAAAUCAUCAUGCCCCUUAUGACCUGGGCUACACACGUGCUACAAUGGUUGGUACAACGAGUUGCGAGUCGGUGACGGCGAGCUAAUCUCUUAAAGCCAAUCUCAGUUCGGAUUGUAGGCUGCAACUCGCCUACAUGAAGUCGGAAUCGCUAGUAAUCGCGGAUCAGCACGCCGCGGUGAAUACGUUCCCGGGCCUU
rnacentral:rRNA from 1 species